rnacentral:rRNA from 1 species
ACNUUUGACAUGNAUUGUAGCAUUUGGGGUAACUAUUGUAUGGUACCUGUUCGUGUGAGUUCCUUUGAUCAGGGCUUUAACCAUAGAAGGUGCUAGUCCUAUAAUCACGAAUAGUUUUGUGCUGUACAUUGUAUACCUUUCGAGUAGCGUAGUUUGAGAUUGCUACGCCAACGUGGGACGUAAACUUGUUCCAAAGCUAAAUAUUAUAACGAGACCGAUAGCGAACAAGUACCGUGAGGGAAAGUUGAAAAGCACUCUGAAGAGAGAGUUAAAUAGUACGUAAAACCGUACAGAAGAAAACGAAUGGCCGCAUUCAUCAGAUUACUUUGAAUUCAAUUCGAUCUCUAUAUGAUGAUAAUACAUGUUAAUUUGGAACCUCAACAGUCCAUUGAUAUGUUAUUGUCUGGAAUCAAGUGCAUUUUCAAAGUAUUAACUGAACCUGGAUCUGUAACAUUGAAAGCUAGUCGAAUCGGGCUAUUUUGGUAGCGAGUUUUACUCGUGUUAAAAAUAUGACUUGCAUAAAUAACUAAUUCAACUUGUCAUUAUAGGUAAACAGACAUGUUCUUUGAUUUCAGUACUUCUAGUACGGCAUGNUAUGAGCAUUGAUGGUGUCNCAUGNNNNACUAAUGCCUGAACAGUAUUAGUUUUAUUCAUUG